GCACAUAAAAGCACACACCUCAGUCAUCACCUGGUCUGAUCUUGAACUUUCCCCGUCUUAGUUACUUGCAUUGACUUCUCAAACUUACCUCUCGACUUACUUCUUCUCCAGCGGAAAUCUCCUAAUCUCCAGAGUUCCUCCAGCGCUCCUCCAACGAUCUCCUCUUCCAAGUCUUCCUCUCCUACGUCCCUCCCGAGCAGGCGAAGGUUCGUUAAAUCCACUCAUCCACUGCGGAGAUGAGGCAAAGAUACCUGAGGGAGAGUUGAGUCGAGUACAGGUACAACGGGCCGGAUCCAGCCAUACAGCGACUCCUCACACCGCCCAGAGCAAACGCGAUCCGAAACCAGCCCACAUCUGCCGAGAUAAGGAUAUGAAUGAGGUACUACAGAGGACGGCAGGUACAAUUUCCAUCUGGUGGAAACGCCGCCUCGGUUCCCACGUCUACGGCACCGCUUUCUUCUGGAAAAGGCACAGGGCAGUCGGCGCAAACUUUCCUGUAUAGAAGACCAACCAAAGGAAGACAGAGCCCACUGCAGAUGGUGAGCCAAAGCCUGCCGCAACCGGCGAGCCAUCGCCAGAGAAGGCGAGGAUCAAUCUAGAGCCGGAGCCUCAUGGAUCAUCUGACCAG
ensembl:lncRNA